GGCGAGUUGGUGGAGUGGUCUAACACGUGCGACUCAAGAUAAUAUCUUGAUCCUUAAACAGGAUUUCGCAUCUCGCAAGAGGCGUGGGUUCGAAUCCCACACUCGUCA
rfam:Trichoderma atroviride IMI 206040 TRIATcontig_23, whole genome shotgun sequence.